rnacentral:rRNA from 1 species
AACUGCGAAGGCAGCUUUCUGGAUCAUUACUGACACUGAGGAACGAAAGCAUGGGUAGCGAAGAGGAUUAGAUACCCUCGUAGUCCAUGCCGUAAACGAUGUGUGUUAGACGUUGGAAGUUUACUUUCAGUGUCGCAGGGAAACCGAUAAACACACCGCCUGGGGAGUACGACCGCAAGGUUAAAACUCAAAUGAAUUGACGGGGACCCGCACAAGUAGUGGAGCAUGUGGUUUAAUUCGAAGAUACGCGCAGAACCUUACCAACACUUGACAUGUUCGUCGCGACUCUAAGAGAUUAGAGUUUUCGGUUCGGCCGGACGAAACACAGGUGCUGCAUGGCUGUCGUCAGCUCGUGUCGUGAGAUGUUGGGUUAAGUCCCGCAACGAGCGCAACCCUCACUUUUAGUUGCCAUCAUUAAGUUGGGCACUCUGAAAGAACUGCCAGUGAUAAGCUGGAGGAAGGUGGGGAUGACGUCAAGUCCUCAUGGCCCUUACGUGUUGGGCUACACACGUGCUACAAUGGCAUCUACAACAGGAAGCAAAACGGCAACGUUAAGCAAAUCCCGAAAAGAUGCCUCAGUUCGGAUUGCACUCUGCAACUCGAGUGCAUGAAGCUGGAAUUACUAGUAAUCGUGGAUCAGCGUGCCACGGUGAAUGCGUUCCCGGGUCUUGUACACACCGCCCGUCACACCAUGGGAGUUGGUUCUACCAUAAGGCAAGGUUUUAAACCCUUGACCACGGUAUAGUCAGCGACUGGGGUGAAGUCGUAACAAGGUAGCCGUA